rnacentral:rRNA from 1 species
GAGCAUGUGGUUUAAUUCGAAGCAACGCGCAGAACCUUACCUACCCUUGACAUCCCGAUCGCGGUUUCCAGAGAUGGAUUCCUUCAGUUAGGCUGGAUCGGUGACAGGUGCUGCAUGGCUGUCGUCAGCUCGUGUCGUGAGAUGUUGGGUUAAGUCCCGCAACGAGCGCAACCCUCAUCCUUAGUUGCCAUCACGUUUGGGUGGGCACUCUAAGGAGACUGCCGGUGGUAAGCCGGAGGAAGGUGGGGAUGACGUCAAGUCCUCAUGGCCCUUACGGGUAGGGCUACACACGUGCUACAAUGGCAGUGACAAUGGGUUAAUCCCCAAAAACUGUCUCAGUUCGGAUUGUCGUCCGCAACUCGACGGCAUGAAGGUGGAAUCGCUAGUAAUCGUGGAUCAGCAUGCCACGGUGAAUACGUUCCCGGGCCUUGUACACACCGCCCGUCACAUCAUGGGAAUUGGUUCUACCCGAAGACGCUGUGCUAACUUCGGAGGCAGGCGGCCACGGUAGGAUCAGUGACUGGGAUGAAGUCGUAACAAGGUAACCGUAAAGGGCGAA